rnacentral:rRNA from 1 species
CUUGGCGGUGUUUUAGACCUCUCAGGGGAACCUGUCUCAUAAUCGACAAUCCACGUUAUACCUAACCUUAUUUUGCUUUUCAGUUUGUAUACCGUCGUCGUCAGGUAACUUUUAAAAAUUUAGAAGUUAGCAAAAAAGCUAAAUAAGCUUAUACGUCAGAUCAAGGUGCAGCUCAUAUUAGGGUGAGGAUGGGUUACAAUUAUAAAUUUAUAAUUACGAAAUAAUUAUAAUAAUAUAUAAUUAAUUAU